UACGAAGGGGGCUAGCGUUGCUCGGAAUCACUGGGCGUAAAGGGUGCGUAGGCGGGUCUUUUAAGUCAGGGGUGAAAUCCUGGAGCUCAACUCCAGAACUGCCUUUGAUACUGAGGAUCUUGAGUUCGGGAGAGGUGAGUGGAACUCCUAGUGUAGAGGUGGAAUUCGUAGAUAUUAGGAAGAACACCAGUGGCGAAGGCGGCUCACUGGCCCCGGUACUGACGCUGAGGUGCGAAAAGCGUGGGGGAGCAAACAGG
rnacentral:rRNA from 1 species